CCUACGGGAGGCAGCAGUAGGGAAUCUUCCGCAAUGGACGAAAGUCUGACGGAGCAACGCCGCGUGAGUGAUGAAGGUUUUCGGAUCGUAAAGCUCUGUUGUUAGGGAAGAACAAGUGCGAGAGUAACUGCUCGCACCUUGACGGUACCUAACCAGAAAGCCACGGCUAACUACGUGCCAGCAGCCGCGGUAAUACGUAGGUGGCAAGCGUUGUCCGGAAUUAUUGGGCGUAAAGGGCUCGCAGGCGGUUUCUUAAGUCUGAUGUGAAAGCCCCCGGCUCAACCGGGGAGGGUCAUUGGAAACUGGGAAACUUGAGUGCAGAAGAGGAGAGUGGAAUUCCACGUGUAGCGGUGAAAUGCGUAGAGAUGUGGAGGAACACCAGUGGCGAAGGCGACUCUCUGGUCUGUAACUGACGCUGAGAGCGAAAGCGUGGGGAGGGAACAGGAUUAGAUACCCUGGUAGUC
rnacentral:rRNA from 1 species